rnacentral:rRNA from 1 species
UUAUUCGACCAUACCAGCACUAAAGCACCAGAUCCCAUCAGAACUCCGAAGUUAAGCGUGCUUGGGCGAGAGUAGUACUAGGAUGGGUGACCUCCUGGGAAGUCCUCGUGUUGCAUUCC